rnacentral:rRNA from 1 species
AGUGAACGCUGGCGGUAGGCCUAACACAUGCAAGUCGAACGGCAGCACAGUAAGAGCUUGCUCUUACGGGUGGCGAGUGGCGGACGGGUGAGGAAUACAUCGGAAUCUACUUUUUCGUGGGGGAUAACGUAGGGAAACUUACGCUAAUACCGCAUACGACCUACGGGUGAAAGCAGUGGAUCUUCGGACCUUGCGCGAUUGAAUGAGCCGAUGUCGGAUUAGCUAGUUGGCGGGGUAAAGGCCUACCAAGGCGACGAUCCGUAGCUGGUCUGAGAGGAUGAUCAGCCACACUGGAACUGAGACACGGUCCAGACUCCUACGGGAGGCAGCAGUGGGGAAUAUUGGACAAUGGGCGCAAGCCUGAUCCAGCCAUACCGCGUGGGUGAAGAAGGCCUUCGGGUUGUAAAGCCCUUUUGUUGGGAAAGAAAAGCAGCAGGUUAAUACCCCGCUGUUCUGACGGUACCCAAAGAAAAAGCACCGGCUAACUUCGUG